rnacentral:rRNA from 1 species
GGCUCAGACAGCCAGGAUGUUGGCUUAGAAGCAGCCAUCAUUUAAAGAAAGCGUAAUAGCUCACUGGUCGAGUCGGCCUGCGCGGAAGAUGUAACGGGGCUAAGUAGUAAACCGAAGCUGCGGCAAUGUGCUUUUGCACAUUGGGUAGGGGAGCGUUCUGUAAGCGGUUGAAGGUGUGUGGUAACGCAUGCUGGACGUAUCAGAAGUGCGAAUGCUGACAUGAGUAACGAUAAAGGGGGUGAAAAACCUCCUCGCCGGAAGACCAAGGGUUCCUGUCCAACGUUAAUCGGGGCAGGGUAAGUCGACCCCUAAGGCGAGGCCGAAAGGCGUAGUCGAUGGGAAACGGGUUAAUAUUCCCGUACUUCUUACAAUUGCGAUGGGGGGGACGGAGAAGGCUAGGUGGGCCUGGCGACGGUUGUCCAGGUUCAAGUGCGUAGGCUUAAGAGUUAGGUAAAUCCGGCUCUUUUUAAGGCUGAGACACGACGUCGAGCUACUACGGUAGUGAA